GACGAACGCUGGCGGCGUGCUUAACACAUGCAAGUCGAACGGAAAGGCCCUGCUUUUGUGGGGUGCUCGAGUGGCGAACGGGUGAGUAACACGUGAGUAACCUGCCCUUGACUUUGGGAUAACUUCAGGAAACUGGGGCUAAUACCGGAUAGGAGCUCCUGCUGCAUGGUGGGGGUUGGAAAGUUUCGGCGGUUGGGGAUGGACUCGCGGCUUAUCAGCUUGUUGGUGGGGUAGUGGUUACCAAGGCUUUGACGGGUAGCCGGCCUGAGAGGGUGACCGGCCACAUUGGGACUGAGAUACGGCCCAGACUCCUACGGGAGGCAGCAGUGGGGAAUAUUGCACAAUGGGCGGAAGCCUGAUGCAGCAACGCCGCGUGCGGGAUGACGGCCUUCGGGUUGUAAACCGCUUUCGCCUGUGACGAAGCGUGAGUGACGGUAAUGGGUAAAGAAGCACCGGCUAACUACGUG
rnacentral:rRNA from 1 species